UACGAAGGGGGCUAGCGUUGCUCGGAAUCACUGGGCGUAAAGCGCGCGUAGGCGGCUUGUUAAGUCAGGGGUGAAAUCCUGGAGCUCAACUCCAGAACUGCCUUUGAUACUGGCGAGCUUGAGUCCGGGAGAGGUGAGUGGAACUGCGAGUGUAGAGGUGAAAUUCGUAGAUAUUCGCAAGAACACCAGUGGCGAAGGCGGCUCACUGGCCCGGUACUGACGCUGAGGUGCGAAAGCGUGGGGAGCAAACAGG
rnacentral:rRNA from 1 species